rnacentral:rRNA from 1 species
UACGAAGGGGGCUAGCGUUGUUCGGAAUUACUGGGCGUAAAGGGCGCGUAGGCGGUCCUGAUCGUCGGAUGUGAAAGGCCUGGGCUCAACCUGGGAAUGGCAUCCGAUACGGCGGGACUGGAGUGUGGGAGAGGUUGGUGGAAUUCCCAGUGUAGAGGUGAAAUUCGUAGAUACUGGGAAGAACACCGGUGGCGAAGGCGGCCAACUGGACCACAACUGACGCUGAGGCGCGAAAGCGUGGGGAGCGAACAGG